CUUCACGGAGCCGAGCCACAGCGGGUCGUCGGCGUCGCGGCCCUGGCCGUAGGUGGCGAGGAGGGCCUGGGCCUC
rnacentral:antisense_RNA from 3 species